rnacentral:miRNA from 1 species
UUGUGUUGCGUUUCUGUUGAUU